AAACCAGGGAUCCUCAUUUCUGCAGGGUUGGAGCAGUGACACUAUGGAAUCUGCUACUGUUCCAAGUAGGAAAUGAACAGUAAUAACUGCUACUGUGGCAAAAGGAAGAAUGAAACAUCAGAGGAAGCUUUUAACCUUCUACACAGCACAGCUAUCCAUGAAAAACAAGGCGCUAAUGAAGGAACCUUCCACAGCUGGGUUCCCUUCACAGCUGCAAAACUCAGUUUACAAAGGAAACCUGAUCCCUUCAACAGUUAAGAAGAGGACGAGACUGGUGUUGUGUGUAGGUACAAAACCAACCUGGGCAACAAGAGGUUCUUCAGGAGGGUGGGCUGGAAAACUAUUCUAGUAUUACAAGCUGUGGUAUUAAAAUGAUGGAUUGCUGUCUAGGAAUUGUGUAAUUGCUGUAAAAUGCUUCAGUUGGGAGUAAAAACAGUAGUCUUGUAAUCCAGAAGCCACAGGCUGUGAAAAUUCAUAUCCAUCAAGUUUUGGUAACCAGGCUUCUUGUUCCCUAAUAAUACAAAACAUCUCGUGAUGCAAAGACAGCUCGUGUAUGGUGAAAGAUAAAAUCCUGGAGUUGAAGCUGUGGACAGUAAUUUGGGAUUCUAGCAGCAGUACAGUCUCAAUGCAGGAUUUUUUAUUUCAAAAAACAAAGUCUUUGGAAAAGUAUGUCAGUAUGGGGCUGUAUAAGAAUGCAGAGUAUUCUACUGACCUUAAAAAAAAAAAACCAAACAAAAAACAGCUAAAGGAAAGAAGUCAGCUUCUAUAUAAAGAAACUCCAGGGGUAAAAGAUCUACUGACUCCAUUAGCCAAUAGGGACAGUAUUAAAAGGCUAUUCAGGUAUUCCACCUGCAAAGCAAUAACAUUGGCCACACUUUCCUUCUAGAUCCAGUAUUGGAGAUCUACAUUCAACAGCCUGGAAAAACCAAAGUGUGAACAAGGCUUUGAUUUGUCUUUUGGAAAGAAACACAAACACAUGAAAGAAGUAUUUAACGACAACUUCCUCCUGGAAAACAAUCUUGAGAUAUUAGUAAACUGGUAUAUUUAUCUGGGUUUUGUAGGUCAGGGGAAA